UAAUUCCGGGCUAAGUCCCGAAGGCAUUUGUGCGAGCUACUAAUUCCGGGCUAAGUCCCGAAGGCAUUUGUGCGAGUUAUUAUACCGGGCUAAGUCCCGAAGGCAUUUGUGCAAGUUACUAUAACCGGGCUAAGUCCCGAAGGCAUUUGAGCUAGUGGCUAUAUCCGGCUAAACUCCGAAGGUACUUGGUUUGGGAACGAGUGAUCU
rnacentral:lncRNA from 1 species